GCUCCGGUGACCUAGUGGUUAGAGCGUCUGCCUCAUAUGCAAAAAGUCGUUGGUUCGAUCCCUUGCCGAGUCA